rnacentral:rRNA from 1 species
AACGAACGCUGGCGGCAGGCUUAACACAUGCAAGUCGAACGCACCUUUCGGGUUGAGUGUCAGACGGGUGAGUAACGCGUUGGAAUCUACCCUUCUCUACGGGAUAGCUCCGGGAAACUGGAAUUAAUACCGUAUACGUCCUGAGGGAGGAAGAUUUGUCGAGGAAGGAUGAGCCCGCGUUGGAUUAGCUAGUUGGUGGGGUAAAGGCCUCCCACGGCGACGAUCCAUAGCUGGUCUAAGAGGAUGAUCAGACACAUUGGGGCUGAGACACGGCCCAAACUCCUACGGGAGGGAGGAGUGGGGAAUAUAGGACAGUGGGCGCAAGGCUGAUCCAGCCAGGGCGGGUGAGUGAUGAAGGCGCUAGGGUAGUAAAGCUCUUUCAGUGGGGACGAUAAUGACGGUACCCACAGAAGAAGCCCCGGCUAACUUCGUG